rnacentral:tRNA from 1 species
UCCCUGGAGGACUAGUGGUUAGGCCUUGGCACUCUCACUGCCAUGGCCAGGGUUCGAUUCCUGGCCAAGGAA